rnacentral:rRNA from 1 species
AGAGUUUGAUCCUGGCUCAGGACGAACGCUGGCGGCGUGCUUAACACAUGCAAGUCGAACGGAAAGGCCCUUCGGGGUACUCGAGUGGCGGACGGGUGAGUAACACGUGGGUGAUCUGCCCUGCACUUUGGGAUAAGCCUGGGAAACUGGGUCUAAUACCGAAUAUGACCAUGCACUUCCUGGUGUGUGGUGGAAAGCUUUUGCGGUGUGGGAUGGGCCCGCGGCCUAUCAGCUUGUUGGUGGGGUAAUGGCCUACCAAGGCGACGACGGGUAGCCGGCCUGAGAGGGUGACCGGCCACACUGGGACUGAGAUACGGCCCAGACUCCUACGGGAGGCAGCAGUGGGGAAUAUUGCACAAUGGGCGCAAGCCUGAUGCAGCGACGCCGCGUGAGGGAUGACGGCCUUCGGGUUGUAAACCUCUUUCAGUGCCGACGAAGCGCAAGUGACGGUAGGCAUAGAAGAAGGACCGGCCAACUACGUGCCAGCAGCCGCGGUAAUACGUAGGGUCCGAGCGUUGUCCGGAAUUACUGGGCGUAAAGAGCUCGUAGGUGGUUUGUCGCGUUGUUCGUGAAAACUCACAGCUCAACUGUGGGCGUGCGGGCGAUACGGGCAGACUUGAGUACUGCAGGGGAGACUGGAAUUCCUGGUGUAGCGGUGGAAUGCGCAGAUAUCAGGAGGAACACCGGUGGCGAAGGCGGGUCUCUGGGCAGUAACUGACGCUGAGGAGCGAAAGCGUGGGGAGCGAACAGGAUUAGAUACCCUGGUAGUCC